rnacentral:rRNA from 1 species
UUGCCAGACUCCUACGGGAGGCAGCAGUGAGGAAUAUUGGUCAAUGGGCGCGAGCCUGAACCAGCCAAGUAGCGUGAAGGAUGACUGCCCUACGGGUUGUAAACUUCUUUUAUAAAGGAAUAAAGUGAGGCACGUGUGCCUUUUUGUAUGUACUUUAUGAAUAAGGAUCGGCUAACUCCGUGCCAGCAGCCGCGGUAAUACGGAGGAUCCGAGCGUUAUCCGGAUUUAUUGGGUUUAAAGGGAGCGUAGGCGGGUUGUUAAGUCAGUUGUGAAAGUUUGCGGCUCAACCGUAAAAUUGCAGUUGAUACUGGCAUCCUUGAGUACAGUAGAGGUAGGCGGAAUUCGUGGUGUAGCGGUGAAAUGCUUAGAUAUCACGAAGAACUCCGAUUGCGAAGGCAGCCUGCUGGACUGUAACUGACGCUGAUGCUCGAAAGUGUGGGUAUCAAACAGGAUUAGAUACCCUGGUAG